CGAACAGAUGCAGGGGGGGGAAGGGGUGAAGAGGAGGAGGAGGAGGAGGAGGAGGGGGGCAGCUACAGCCUGGUGGCUGUGACCCAAAGCAUAAAGAACUUCAUCAACGCCAUGUCUUCACAUGAGGGGUCCAACUACCCUGGUGAGACAGACGGACUGUCUGUCCACACUGUUCUACUUAGCCCUGUAUCGGUCCCAUUCAAAUGAGCCUUUCGGGUUUGAUCCAGACUCUGGCCAGUGCACUGGACAGACUACUGGGGGCUAAGGAUGAGGAGUUGGAUUCAGAUGAUGAGGAUGAGGCCAUGGAUGGUCCUACUGGACUGUGAGGGGAUGAAGGGGCAGAGUCUUCAGAAGGUCUUAGGAAGUACAUGGAUGAGAUGGACCAUGAGCUUAUGGGCACCAGCAUGGGACAGCUUCAACCAGCAGGGAAGAUGUGAUCGAUAUUUACCACUUCUUGUUGCAGUGUGCAAAUUCUGUAAAGAGUUCUUUGGAAAGAGGAAGGAUUAGGGAUGCAUAAAUUGCAUUAAUUGCAUAUAAAUAUGUAAAAUAACAAUACAAUUCUAUGAUUCCAGCAGGACACCAAUAAAGCAGGCCCAGCAGCCAAUGGCUGCCCUCGUUCCCCCAGCGGGGAGGGUCUGCUGGGUGAGGAUGAGGAGGAGAUCCAGCCCCUGGACAUAGACUUUAAUCUGGUCACUAACCUCCUGGAGUCUCUGACCUCCCAGGCUGGGCUGGCCGGGCCGGCCUCUAACCUUCUGCAGAGUCUGGGCAUCUGCUACCCAAUACUGACCGUUCAUGUCUAACACCUGCCACCCAAUACUGACCGCUCACGAUGAACACCUGCCCUCCAACUCUGACCAUUCAUGCUGAACACCUGCCCUCCAACUCUGACCAUUCAUGCUGAACACCUGCCCUCCAACUCUGACCAUUCAUGCUGAACACCUGCCCUCCAACUCUGACCAUUCAUGCUGAACACCUGCCCUCCAACUCUGACCAUUCAUGCUGAACACCUGCCCUCCAACUCUGACCAUUCAUGAUUAACUCUGACCGCUCAUUAUGCCCUAGCAAAGAAAAUCACCCAACACCUAGUUCAUACUGUCUGCGCAGCCUAGAUACACUGGCCUUUAAACUUUUUGCUCACACAGAGUACACCAUGGACCACACCAGAAUCAGUAAUGUACAUCAGGACAGUGGUUUGACAACUGGAUCAUGUUUGCAAUUCUGAUUCUGAAUGCAGGAUCUAAAAGGUAACUAACCCUAAAAUGUUGUGAUCCUAACGUAGAGGCACUUUCAUCCCUGUUGGAUAUUUGAAUCUGAAUGUCCUAAAUAUAACAUGUAGUUUCAAAUGUGUUUUUUUUGUACAGCACUUAAAUCAUUACUUAGUCAAAUAAUAAAGCCAUUAUUUUUUGGGACAAAA